GGUACAGUAAGCUGAUGAAGGCAAGUUUUCCUCAACCGGUCGGUAAGAGAAUAGUAAUGAUUUAAUAAGGUAAAUAAUUGGGAAGCAACAACAAUGUGAUAUAUCUGUGAGAUUGUGUUUACAACUAGAGUCGAUGUACAAUAUGCGAGAUUCUACUUAUGCAUCGAGUGUAUCGAUGAGUCAAUGACUAACCCAACCACCUACCUAGAGUAGGAAGAGUCUCGGGCAAUUCAUACGUGGUGCCCUGUCUAGGAAAAGAUUCGAGCAAUUGAGAACUCCCUGACUUGCCAAUAAUGGUGUAAUGGUGGCACUACAAACUACCGAGGAGCAUGCAACAAACAACAACGACAAUCAAUUAGUGUUUUAAAUGUAUGGUUGUGCAUCAGGACCACUCAUAAUUGGAUCCAUAUUUAGUGGAGAUAUUCUGUAUAGACGUUUAGGUCACCC
rnacentral:lncRNA from 1 species